UACGGGGGGGGCAAGCGUUGUUCGGAAUUACUGGGCGUAAAGGGCUCGUAGGCGGCCAACUAAGUCAGACGUGAAAUCCCUCGGCUUAACCGGGGAACUGCGUCUGAUACUGGAUGGCUUGAGGUUGGGAGAGGGAUGCGGAAUUCCCGGUGUAGAGGUGAAAUUCGUAGAUAUCGGGAGGAACACCGGUGGCGAAGGCGGCGACCUGGGUAGAUACUGACGCUGAGGCGCGAAAGCGUGGGGAGCAAACAGG
rnacentral:rRNA from 1 species